CGCCCUAGUUCUAACCAUAAACGAUGCCAGCCAGUAAUCCGCCUGUGUUCCUCAAAUGACACGGCGGGCGACUUCCGGGAAACCAAAGCUUUUGGGUUCCGGGGGAAGUAUGGUUGCAAAGCUGAAACUUAAAGGAAUUGACGGAAGGGCACCACCAGAAAUGGAGCCUGCGGCUUAAUUUGACUCAACACGGGGAAACUUACCCGGCCCGGACACAGGAAGGAUUGACAGAUUAAGAGCUCUUUCUUGAUUCUGUGGGUGGUGGUGCAUGGCCGUUCUUAGUUGGUGGGGCGACUUGUCUGGUUAAUUCCGAUAACGAACGAGACUCUAGCCUACUAAAUAGACGUUCCGAUCCUCUUUCGUCGGACGUUCUUCUUAGAGGGACAAGCGGCGUUUAGCCGCACGAGACAGAGCAAUAACAGGUCUGGGAUGCCCUUAGAUGUCCGGGGCCGCACGCGCGCUACAUUGAAGGAAUCAGCGUGUGCUUUCCCUGUCCGAAAGGACUGGGUAACCCGUUGAACCUCCUUCGUGCUGGGGAUUGGCGAAUGUAACUAACGCCAUGAACGAGGAAUUCCCAGUAAGCACGAGUCAUCAGCUCGUGUUGAUUACGUCCCUGCCCUUUGUCCACACCGCCCGUCGCUACUACCGAUUGAAUGAUUUAGUGAGGUCUUCAGACUGGAACUCGAAUUGGCCUUCGCGGUCGAGUCGGUGUGCCGGAAAGAUGACCAAA
rnacentral:rRNA from 1 species